CUAUACAUGCAGUAGAACGCUGAGGAUGGUGCUUGCCUAAUCCAAAGAGUUGCGAACGGGUGAGUAACGCGUAGGUAACCUACCUCAUAGCGGGGGAUAACUAUUGGAAACUAUAUCUAAUACCGCGUGACUCUAGAGUACACGUGUUCUCUUUUUAAAGGGAGCAAAUGUCUCUAUAUGAUGUGGACGUGUUGUGUUUUAUCUAUGUGGAGAGGUAACGGCUCACCAGGGACAAUAUACAUACCACAUGUGAGGGGGAGAUCGGCCACUGGGGCUGAGACACACGCCCCACACUCCUAGGGGGGGCAGCAAUGGGAAAUCCUCGGCAGUGGAGAGAUCUCAGACAGAGCAACCCCGCGAGAGAGAAAAGGGUUUUCAGAUCGUAAAUCUCUGUUGUUAGAAAAAAACGGUAGUGGGAGUGGAAAAUCCUUUACGUGACGGACUCUAACCAAAAGGGGACGGCUAACUACGUGCCAGCASCCGCGGWAAUACRUAKGUCUCGAGCGUUGUCCRGAUUUAUUGGGCGUAAAGCGAGCGCASGCGGYUCUAUAASUCWGAAGUAAAAGGCAGUGKCUCAMCCAUUGUAUGCUUUGGAAACUGUARAACUUGAGUGCARARGGRGAGAGUGGAAUUCCRUGUGUAGCGGUGAWRUGCRUAKAUAUAUGGARGAACACCGGUGGCGARMGCGGCUCUCUGGUCUGUAACUGACKCUGASGCUCGAAAGCGUGGRGAGCAAACARGAUUAKAUACCCUGGUAGUCCACGCCRUAMACGAUGAGUGCUAKGUGUUASGCCCUUUCCGGSGCUUAGUGCCGCAKCUAACGCAUUAARCACUCCGCCUGGRGAGUACGACCGCARGGUUGAAACUCARRRGAAKUGACGGGSGCCCGCACRAGCKGUGGAGCAUGUGKUUUAMUYMRARSCAACGCGAAGAACCUUACCAKGUCUUGACAUCCCUCUGACCGUCCUAGAGAUAGGAUUUUCCUUCGGGACAGAGGAGACAGGUGGUGCAUGGUUGUCGUCAGCUCGUGUCGUGAGAUGUUGGGUUAAGUCCCGCAACGAGCGCAACCCCUAUUGUUAGUUGCCAUCAUUAAGUUGGGCACUCUAGCGAGACUGCCGGUAAUAAACCGGAGGAAGGUGGGGAUGACGUCAAAUCAUCAUGCCCCUUAUGACCUGGGCUACACACGUGCUACAAUGGUUGGUACAACGAGUCGCAAGCCGGUGACGGCAAGCUAAUCUCUUAAAGCCAAUCUCAGUUCGGAUUGUAGGCUGCAACUCGCCUACAUGAAGUCGGAAUCGCUAGUAAUCGCGGAUCAGCACGCCGCGGUGAAUACGUUCCCGGGCCUUGUACACACCGCCCGUCACACCACGAGAGUUUGUAACACCCGAAGUCGGUGAGGUAACCUUUUAGGAGCCAGCCGC
rnacentral:rRNA from 1 species